AACGAACGCUGGCGGCAGGCUUAACACAUGCAAGUUGAACGCCCCGCAAGGGGAGUGGCAGACGGGUGAGUAACGCGUGGGAACAUGCCCAAAGGUACGGAACAACUCCGGGAAACUGGAGCUAAUACCGUAUGUGACCGAGAGGUGAAAGAUUUAUCGCCUUUGGAUUGGCCCGCGUUGGAUUAGCUAGUUGGUGGGGUAAAGGCCUACCAAGGCGACGAUCCAUAGCUGGUCUGAGAGGAUGAUCAGCCACACUGGGACUGGGACACGGCCCAGACUCCUACGGGAGGCAGCAGUGGGGAAUAUUGGACAAUGGGCGCAAGCCUGAUCCAGCCAUGCCGCGUGAGUGAUGAAGGCCUUAGGGUUGUAAAGCUCUUUCGCCAGGGACGAUAAUGACGGUACCUGGAUAAGAAGCCCCGGCUAACUUCGUGCCAGCCGCCGCCGUAACAC
rnacentral:rRNA from 1 species